GUAAUGUCUGGGAAACUGCCUGAUGGAGGGGGAGUAACUACUGGAAACGGUAGCUAAUACCGCAUAACGUCGCAAGACCAAAGAGGGGGACCUUCGGGCCUCUUGCCAUCAGAUGUGCCCAGAUGGGAUUAGCUAGUAGGUGGGGUAACGGCUCACCUAGGCGACGAUCCCUAGCUGGUCUGAGAGGGUGAUCGGCCACAUUGGGACUGAGACACGGCCCAGACUCCUACGGGAGGCAGCAUG
rnacentral:rRNA from 1 species